UUUAUGCAAACUGUAUUUCUUUGCAACUUUUUCUAUCACCGGAGAUUUUCCAACUCAGACUUAUCUUCCAACACUCACUUAUUUCCAAAUCUUCUCCACCAUGUCGUCACCGUCACUCCCUAUCAUCGAUGCGUCAACCCCUACUGUCUCCAUUGCUCAUGGUGACUCCUCCGCGCACGCGCCGCUUUCUAAGGUUGUCUUUGGCGGUCCAUCUCGCGGUGUCUCAAAGAUUUCCAAGAGGAAGAAGAAGAGUGAAAAGACAAAAGCGGUGCUUCCAUGCCAAUUUCGAUCAUACCAAAAGUAUGGGCUUUCGACAAAGAUAUUCAAAACAAAGAUCCGUCCACCAAGCAAAUUGGCGACCUGGACAAACCGGCCGGUGAGUACUGAUCUGCCAUCCGAACCACUCACCUUCCCACCGUCAGAAAAGACUGCGGGUGGACGAAUAUUCAGGUAUUCGCCUCCGGAGAGGAUGAGAGGAUAACUUUUGGCAAGCCCGGGUAUUCUUUUGUAUACACAUACCCCUUCACCCUCGGACUCGAGACGAAGAUCCACUCAAUCAUCCUCAAUUUAUACAGGUGCUACAAAGUCUGCUUGGCCCAAGUAGGCCCAUCCGUGUGGAGAGCGGUGGCUUGCCUCUGGUAUCUUGCCAAUCAGGCUGGAGAAAAUUUUUCCCUAGACCACUUGAUCCAUCUUUACACUCCAUAACUCUUUCGGGGCAGCGUGAUUACCCUAACACAUCUAAUUCUCUCUUGUAUGGAUAAUGGCAAUGACCGCGGCUGGACAGAGAGAUUUGUGAUCAUUGUCACAUCUGACAUCAUCCCGCACUCCAAUCCACCUCUACCGGAGGCGUGGAACAAUGCCGCUACCUUUUGGGAACCUCAGCCGGUUGAGGGUUUUACCAAAUGGGUCCAGAAUAUCCUGGACGUUUCGACACCGGAGACCCAUACGUGGAAGGUUCCAAGAGUAAGAAUUGGAAAGCCAAGAACCACGGUAACUCAUUCUACACUUGUGCUGCGUAAGGUUCUUUUAUUUUACUUGUUACCCUUAACCUCAUCUCACCUUAUCAGGUUUGCGCAAAUGGUCUUCUAGUUGUCCUGUCACCGAGCUGUCGAACAACACGGAUGAAGCCAACCAACUCAUCCAACAAGUCCUUGAACGCAAAAGGGCUCCUGAAGCGGCGACUGCGGCCGGCAUAACUGAUUCCACCUCCAGCCCCUAGUCCAUAGAGAAAAGGGCAAAGAAAGAUCCACUCGGGGACUCUGGGGAAGGAUCGCAUACUCCUAUCGCUGAACCUCUUCCUACGCUGGUGAACCUAUAGAAUGACGAGACUGAGGGGGAAAAUCAACCCCUUCAGGGGAGAAGAAAAUCGAGUCCGCGGGCCAAUUUUCCCAACGAAAUUGGGAGGCUCUUUAGAGAGCUAGAAAUUGUUGAACAUGCGAGCUCUCCUUACAGAGCUUCGUUUGUUCCAACUGGCCAAAAGAACGCACCUACGGAUGCCACCCCUAUCAACAUUCCUCCCUCUUCUUCCACAACCAUGCACGCAGCUGCCCAAGUAUUUAUGCUCUACCUUCCUCAUUAUAAAGUUUUCCCUUCUUCUUUCUCUGCUGCAUGUUCACUUUAGAUCUAUUUCUCUUAGGCAAACCUUCUGGCAUCGGAAGGACUUCACCAGAUGAUUGCGGAGAAGGAGUUGCUGAGGACCGAGCGAGACAAGCUACUAGAGCGCCUCCCAGCCUUGGAGGCCAAACUUUCUCAGAUGGAGGACCUCGAUGCCAGGCUCGAGCAAUCAGAGCAGGAGAAGAUGGCAUACAACCAAGAGGCCAGUCUUCUUCAUACUGAGCUUGCUGAGUUGAAGGACAAGUGGGUUACGCAAAGAAGACUUUUUUAUUUUCGCCGCGGAAAAGUAGUUUAAGCUCAAGGAAGACAUCCGAGCCUUGCAAACUGCAUUGCGAACCAAAACUGAGGUGGUGGCUAUGGCAGAGAAAGAAAGGGAAAGAUUGGAGGAGAGAAUGCUCAAAAUAUGGCCCAGAACAAGGAGCGUAACCAAACCAACGUUGAGUUGUCCGAUUCUAUUAUAGUUUUACGGGGCGAGAACGCGAGGCUGAAAACUGCCGUUGACAUAGCCACAACGAAGUUACUUUCCCAGGAGGAUAGGUUCGAGCUAGAAAAAACGCAUGCCGUCUGGAGUAUGCCAAGAAAGACUCUAGAAGAAGUUAAGGCCGGUUCGGUUAAUAUUGAUGAUCGUAUCUCUAAGGCCCUUGACCUAGAGCAGAUGACCUACGAGAACCUGCCUGCCUUAGAAGUUGCUCAAAGCCCCGCGGACGAUGAGUUCAACUCCUCUAUAGCCGAAUAUGAGGAAUAGGAGGAGUUUGAGGAAGAUGAAGGAUAAGGAAAUUUAGUUCGAGGUAUAAGUAGCUUAAGUUGGGGUUUAUUUAAAGAUAAAUUAUGUUGGUGAAUAUGGAUACUCUUUGUGAGUUGAUGGGUUUAUCUCUUUGCUUUUUUAUUGAUUCUCUCUUGAAUAUCUCAUUGUGAAGACAUUUAUGUAUGAGUUCAAUUCUCUUCAUCCUUGGACUAGUACAUGUAGUUAUAUGAUUAAUUUAGAGAUUCUCAAUUUGCUAA